UUACUCGCUGGCAGGGAGCUACCAUGCUCACGACAGCAGUUUUCCCAUCGAGACUUAUCCAUUGCACACGGGACGUGCUGACCCCUGCGAUUCCCCCGCAUGUGGGAAACGGCUGCAUGGUUUGUGGUGGGUGCGGGCGGGGGGCGGGGUAACACGGGGACUGCGUUCAUACCCCCUCCCCCC
rnacentral:snRNA from 10 species